GCCUCAGCCUCCGGAGCUGCUGGGAUGACAGGUGUGCACCACUGCCCCCGGCCGGAGGGCCUUGUCUGUGCCAGGCAACCGCUCUGUCACUGUUCACGCACUGAGGUUUGCGCUGGAUGCAUCCUUCUGGAACCUGCUGUGCUCCCUCCACUCAUGUUCCUGAGGUUCUUUUGCGCUGGUAAUGGAUAAGCAAAACGUGUGGCCGGGCCGGGCGGCCCACGCUGGCCAUCCCAGCAGCUCUGGAGGCUGAGGCAGGAGGAUGGCAAGUUGGAGGCCAGCCUCAGCGACAGAGGAACAGUCGCCACCGUGGGCAGCGGGUGUGGCCUCCGUCAGCCCCAGACAGGGAAGUGGCUGUGUGACCCUGGGCCCCGGGUUCCUCUCCUGAUCUGGGGAGGCACUGCCCAGGCUGACGGAAGGUUCUAGAAGGUCCCUCAGGCACCCUGGAGCCGUGCUGGGCGGGCCCUGGGUGGGCCCCAGCCCUGGACAGGCAGCACGUCCCCCCCAGGCCAGGCUCCAAGGGAAGCCCCCCUCCCCCUCCUCCUGGGUGCCCCCCGGGGCCCGGCCUCCUCCUCCUCCUGCCUCCUCUCCCCCUCCCCCAGCCACCGUCCACCCUGUGCCUGGCGCAGGCCCCCCCUGCCCCCCGCCGGUGGCAGCUGCUGCCAGGGGAGCCUGCCCACCCCCAUGGCGCCCGGGCACCAGGCACCAGCUGGGACAUGACCCUGCAGGAAGAGCCGGUUUACGUCACUCUCCCCCAGAGAGGCUCAGAGCCGAGGCCGCGGCCGGGGGGGAGGCCGCUCAGGUGCAGCUUCCCCAGAGCCCAGGGCCCCCCAUGGGUCUCCCCCCAGGACCCCCUCAUGGUGGUUGGUCUUUUCCCAGAAGACCCCACGGUGACGAGGCCAGGCUGGACGGGGCUCCCCCUGGGUGGACAGGGCACAGGCGGUAUCAAGGUCCUGGGGUCAGGGCUGGGGGGCACUUACCUGGCACCUGGGAGGCACUGGGUUCCGUUCUCAGCACCCCCCAGAAAUAACCUCAGGGUCCAGGGACAACGGGAAAAAUAUACGAAACCCCCCAAGAAAGAUCUUGGGAUUAGCCGGGCGCACGGUGGCCCUCGCCUGUCUUCCCAGCGGCUGGGGAGGCCGAGGCUGGAGGAUCGCGAGCGGGAGGCCAGCCUCUACCGCAAACUCAGCGAGGCCCUGAGCCGCUCAGGGAGACCCUGUGUCUCUAAAUAAAAUGCAAAAUAGGGCUGGGGACGGGGCUCGGGGGUUGCACACCCCUGGGGUCAAUCCCUGGUGUCCCCACCCCCCCAAAAAAACUGGGUGGGCAGGAGCUGGUGACAUGAGGGGGCUGGGGCCUGAGACCUGGGGGAAGGCCCAGGCCGGGGACGGGAAAUCUGCCCAGCGCUUACCGUCACGCGGAUGAAGACGGCGGCGGCGCUGCCAGGGACGUGCCAGGGACCCAGGCAGGUCACAGCAGGUUCCCAGGGUGCGGCCGGUGGCCCCUGCCAGGGAUCCCAGGGUGUCUGCACGUCCCUGGGAUCCCACAGGGUCCCUGGGGUUGUCUUUCCUUCUGUGUGACACCCGGGUCCUCGUGCUGCUAGGCGAGUGCUCUGGGCUGUCCCCAGCCCU